GGCGAGUUUGAUCCUGGCUCAGAGCGAACGCUGGCGGCAGGCUUAACACAUGCAAGUCGAGCGGGCGUAGCAAUACGUCAGCGGCAGACGGGUGAGUAACGCGUGGGAACGUACCUUUUGGUUCGGAACAACCCAGGGAAACUUGGGCUAAUACCGGAUAAGCCCUUACGGGGAAAGAUUUAUCGCCGAAAGAUCGGCCCGCGUCUGAUUAGCUAGUUGGUGAGGUAACGGCUCACCAAGGCGACGAUCCGUAGCUGGUCUGAGAGGACGAUCAGCCACACUGGGACUGAGACACGGCCCAGACUCCUACGGGAGGCAGCAGUGGGGAAUCUUGCGCAAUGGGCGAAAGCCUGACGCAGCGACGCCGCGUGGGGGAAGAAGGCUUUCGGGUUGUAAACCCCUUUCAGGAGAGACGAAGCUACUCGGGUUAAUAGCCCAGAGGGUGACGGUAUCUCCAGAAGAAGCCCCGGCUAACUACGUGCCAGCAGCCGCGGUAAUAA
rnacentral:rRNA from 1 species